rnacentral:lncRNA from 1 species
CUUGGACUCACCAGGAGGCCUGUGGCCUAUUUUACUAAGCAGUCAGAUCAGAUGGUCAAAGGAUAGCUGUCUUGCCUCUGAGCCAUUGCCACCAUCUGUAACAUAGUACAAGAAGCUGAAAAAUUCACAUUGGCACAGGCCACAAUGGCGCACACUCCCCAUUGUGUCCUCCCUCUAUGAGUCCUCUAAGAAAAGAACAGAAUGGAGGAUCUUGGCUAACCUCAGGAUCAGCCUACUUUAUGAGACAACCCAGAAGUAAAGUUAAAUGCUAUUUCUACCUUAAAACCUGCAACACUUCUACCUACUGAGUCAACAAGACCCCUUUCAUGAUGAGUGACUUCAGAUCAUUGAACAGGUAUUCUAGAGUUGACCUGAUUUGACUGUCCAACUGUUGGAGCAGUUGGACUUGGGACUGUUCACUGAUGGAAGCAGCUUCUUGGAUGAGGGCAACAUCAAGCAGGGCAUGUAGUUGUCACCCUUCAGGACACCAUGGAAGCAAAGGCUUUGCCUCCAGGUGUUUCAUCUCAGGAGGCUGAGCUAAUAGCCCUAAAUAAAGUUCUUCAAAUAGGUAAAGACACAAGAGCACAGACUCAAAAUAUGCCUUUUUAGUGGUCCAUGCCCCUGGGGCCAUAUGGAAAGAGAGGGGUCUCUUGACUGUUGGAAAGAGGGACAUAAAAUAUUCCCAGGAAAUAUUGACCUUAUUAGAGGCUAUUAAUGACCCAUGGCAGUAGCCAUCAUGUACUGCCCUCCACAUCAGAAAGGGGACACUUUGGAAGCCCGACGUAAUCAACUGGCUGAUCAGGCAGUGAAGACUGCUGUUAGCACUAUGAGUUUCAGGGCACUCUUGGGUCCCUUAGUUCCCCAAAUUGACAUUGCUAAAUUCCAGCAUAGCUACACACAGAAAGAUUUAGAGAGAGCCAGAGCAUGGAGAUUUGACUCCUCAUCUGUGGAGUAUCCAGGAUAUAAAUGUAAGUCAGAAAGACUCAUCUUGGUAUCUGAAGCCCUUCUGGGAGAAAGUGUGAAUCAAAUGCAUCAGAGCACUCACUAUGGAAAGGAGGCCACCUUGCAGUGGAUCAAGGAGGUGGUUUGUUCUAACUUGCAAAGAAACAUUCAGAAAGUUACUAAAAAUGUGUGAUCUGUGCCAAAAACAAUCCCAGGACAGGGCUGCUCUCCUUGAAUAAUGGGGUUCAACAUUCACGAGUUUUCCCCUGUGAGGACUUGCAACUGGAAUUUAACAUGAUGCCUUGAGCCUCUAGGAAAGCCAAGUAACUAGAGUACUCAUAGACACCUUCACAGUGUGGGUUGAAGUAUUCCCGUCCAAAACAGGGAGGGACACCAAAGUGACCAAGGAUUCCCAAAAGGAGAUCAUUCCAGGGACAAAAUUCCACUGUCAAUCCAGAACGACAACAGCACUGAAUUUAUCUAAAUCAUUCUGGCAUGGACCACUGUGCUUAAGGGGAAGAUGGAGGCAUUUGGAGUGAGCAGGGUUGGAAAGACGCAAAUGUGGCAGAAGGAGAAGUUCUACAGGGGUGAGAUGAGGGAUGGAAAGAAAUGGCAUUACAGCCGCCUUUGUAGGAGACGUUCCCGGUCAGCUGUAAGAGCAUGGUGCAAAGCGAGUUCUUUCUCAGCUUGACAAAGAGCUGCAAGCAAGAUGGUUUGUGGCCUGUCUCCCUUUCAGGAAUCAAGGCAGUGCUUUGUGCCUUCCAUCUCUAGAGCACUGUCCGAGACAGCUGAGAGUAGAAGCUCUAAUUCAGCAAGAUCAGGGCUAGAAAGAAACUGCGUCUCACAGGCCUUUGUAAGAGAUGUUCCCAGGAGGCUGUAAGAGCACUGUGGAGAUUGAGUUGUUUAUCAGCUUACCAAAGAGCUGGAAGCAAGACCAUUUGUGGCUUGUCUUCCUUUGAGGGACUGAGUCAGUGCUUUGUGACUUCCACCUCUAGGGCAAUGGAGGACAUGGCUUUGAGCAGAAGUUCUACGGUGGUGAGAUCAGGGCUGGAAAUAAACUGCGUUUCAGGCCUUUGUAUGACGGGUUCCCGGUAGGCUGUAAGAGCACUGUGGAAAGCGAGUUCUUUCUCAGCUUGCCAAAGAGCUGGAAGCAAGACGGCUUGUGGCCUGUCUCCCCUUGAGGAAACAAGGCAGGACUUUGUGCCUUGCAUGCCUACAGCAAUGUAGGACACGGCAAAGCAGAGGUUCUACUUCAGCGACAUCAGGUCUGGAAAGAAACUGCGUUCCACAGGCCUUUGUAAGAGAUGUUACCGGGAGGCUGUAAGAGCCCUGUGGAGAGCGAGUUGUUUCUUACCUUCCGAAAGACCUGGAAGAAAGACCAUUUGAGGCUUGUUUCCCUUUGAGGCACUGAUUCAGUUCUUUGUUCCUUCCACCUGUAGGGCAAUGGAGGACAUGGCUCAGAGCAGAAGUUCUAAGAAUGCUAGAUCAGGGCUGGAAACUAACUGCCUUUCAGGCCUUUGUAUGACAGGUGCCCUGCAGGCAUUAAGAGCACUGUGGAAAGCAAUUUCUUUCUCGGCUUGCCAAAGAGAUGGAAGCAAGAUGGUUUGUGGCCGCUCUCCCUUUGGAGAAAAGAGGCAGUUCCUUUUCCCUUCCACCCCUAGGAAAGUGCAUGACACGGCAGAGGAGAAGUUCUAAUUCAGUGAGAUCAGGGCUGGAAAGAAACUGCAUUUCACAGACAUUUGUAAGACAUGUUCCCAGGACGCUGUAAGAGCACUGUGGAGAGCGAGCUGUUUCUUAGCUUCCCAAAGAGCUGGAAGUAAGAUCAUUUGUGGCUUGUCUCCUUUUGAGGCACUCACUCAGUGGUUUGUGCCUUGCACCUCUAGAGCAAUGGAGGACAUGGCUUAGAGCAGAAGCUCUAAGGCGACGAGAUCAGGGCUGGAAACAAACUGCAUUUCAGGCCUUUAUAUGACAGGUUCCUGGUAGUCUGUAAGAGCACUGAGGAAAGCGAGUUCUUUCUCGGCUUGCCAAAGAGCUGGAAGCAAGACGGUUUGGGUCCUGUCUCCCCUUGAGGAGACAAGGCAGGACUUUGUCCCUUGCAGCUCUAGGGCCAUGUAGGACACAGCAGAGCAGAAGUUCUACUACAGCGAGAUCAGGCCUGGGAAGAAACUGCAUUUCACAGCCCUUUGUAAGAGAUGUUCCCGGUAGGCUGUAAGAGCACUGCGGAGAGCGAGUUGUUUCUUAGCUGCCCAGAGAGCUGGAACCGGCACGCUGAGGGACUUGUCCCCCAUUGUGGAAACAAGGCAGGACUUUCUGCCUUGCAGCUCUUGGGCCAUGUAGGACACGGCAGAGCAGAAGUUCUACUUCAGUGAGAUCAGGCCUGGGAAGAAAUUGCGUCUCACAGGCCUUUGUAAGACACGUUCCCGGUAGGCUUUAAGAGCCCUGUGCAGAGCGAGUUGUUUCUUAGACUGCAAAAGAGCUGGAAGCCGGACGCUGUGGGGCCUGUCUGCCCUUGAAGACACAGCAGAGGACUUUGUCCCUUUCAGCUCUGGCCCAUGUAGGACACGGCAGAGCAGAAGUUCUACUUCAGUGAGAUCAGGCCUGGGAAGAAAUUGCGUCUCACAGGCCUUUGUAAGACACGUUCCCGGUAGGCUUUAAGAGCCCUGUGCAGAGCGAGUUGUUUGUUAGACUGCAAAAGAGCUGGAAGCCGGACGCUGUGGGGCCUGUCUGCCCUUGAGGACACAAGACAGGACUUUGUCCCUUUUAGCUCUAGGCCCAUGUAGGACACGGCAGAGCAGAAGUUCUACUUCACCGAGAUCAGGCCUGGGAAGAAACUGCGUUUCACAGGCCUUUGUAGGACAUGUUCCCAGUAGGCUGUAAAACACCAGUGCAGAGCGAGCAGUUUCUUAGCUGCCCAAAGAGAUGGAAGCCUGACGCUGUGGGGCCUCUCUGCCCUUGAGGACACAAGGCUGGACUUUCUCCCUUUGAGGUCUAGGGGCAUGUAGGACACGGCAGAGCUGAACUUCUACUUCAGCGAGAUCAGGCCUGGUAAGAAACUGCGUUUCACAGGCCUUUGUAAGACAUGUUCCUGGUAGGCUUGUAUGCCCGAUGCAGAGCGAGUUGUUUCUUAGUUGCCCAAAAGCUGGAAGGGGGACACUGUGCUGCCGGCCUGCCCCUGAGGAGAGAAGGCAGGAGUUUGUCCCUUUCAGCUCUAGGCCCAUGUAGGACAUGGCAGAGCAGAAGUUCUAAUUCAGCGAGAUCUAGCCUGGGAAGAGACUGCGUUUCAGAUGCCUUUGUAAGACAUGUUCCCUGUAGGCUGUAAAACACCAGUGCAGAGCCAGCUGUUUCUCAGCUGCCCAAAGAGCUGGAAGCCGGACACUCUGCUGCCCGUCUGCCCUUGAGGAGACAAGGCAGGACUUUGUCCCUUGCAGCUCUAUGGCCAUGUAGGACACGGCAGAUCAGAAGUCCUACAUCAGGGAGAGCAGGCCUGGGAAGAAACAGCAUAACACAGGCCUUUGUACGAUAUGUUCCUGGUAGGCUUGUAGGAGCCCUGUGCAGAGCGAGUUGUUUCUUAGCAGCCCAAAGAGCUGUAAUCUGGACGCUGAGGGACUUGUCUCCCCUUGUGGAAACAAAGCAGGACUUUGUGAAUUGCGGCUCUAGGGUCAUGAAGGACACGGCAGAGCAGAAGUCCUACAUCAGGGAGAGCAGGCCUGGGAAGAAACAGCAUAACCCAGGUCUUUGUACGAUAUGUUCCCGGUUGGCUUGUAGGAGCCCUGUGCAGAGCGAGCUGUUUCUUAGCAGCCCAAAGAGCUGGAAUCCGGACGCUGAGGGACUUGUCUCCCCUUGUGGAAACAAAGCAGGACUUUGUGAAUUGCGGCUCUAGGGUCAUAAAGGACACGGCAGAGCAGAAGUUCUACUUCAGCGAGAUCAGGCCUGGGAAGCAACUGCGUUUCACAGGCCUUUGUAAGACAUGUUCCCGGUAGGCUUUAAGAGCCCUGUGCAGAGCGAGUUGUUUCUUAGCCUGCCAAAGAGCUGGAAGCCGGACGCUGUGGGACCAGUCUGCCCUUGAGGACACAAGACAGGACUUUGUCCCUUUCUGCUCUAGGCACAUGCAGGACACGGCAGAGCAGAAGUUCUACUUCAGCGAGAUCAGGUCUGGGAAGAAACUGCGUUUCAGGGGCCUUUGUAAGCCAUGUUCCCGGUAGGCUGUAAAACACCAGUGCAGAGCGAGCUGAUUCUUAGCUGCUCAAAGAGCUGGAAGCCGGACGGUGUGGGACCUGUCUGCCCUUGAAGACACAACAGAGGACUUUGUCCCUUUCAGCUCCAGGCCCAUCUAGGACACGGCAGAGCAGAAGUUCUACCUCACUGAGAUCAGGCCUGGGAAGAAACUGCGUUUCACUUGCCUUUGUAGGACAUCUUCCCGGUAGGCUGUAAAGCACCAGUGCAGAGCGAGCUGUUUCUUAGCUGCACAAAGAGAUGGAAGCUGGACGCUGUGGGGCCUGUCUGCUCUUGAAGACACAACACAGGACUUUGUCCCUUACAGCUCUAGGCCCAUGUAGGACACGGCAGAGCAGAAGUUCUACUUCAGCGAGAUCAGGCCUGUGAAGAAACUGCGUUUCACAGGCCUUUGGAACAUGUUCCCGGUAGGCUGUAAAACACCACUGCAGAGCGAUUUGUUUCUUAGCUGCCCAAAGAGCUGGAAGCCGGACACUCUGCUGCCCGUCUGCCCUUGAGAAGACAAGGCAGGACUUUGUCCCUUGCAGCUCUAUGGCCAUGUAAGACACGGCAGAGCAGAACUCCUACAUCAGGGAGAGCAGGCCUGGGAAGAUACAUCAUAACACAGGGCUUUGUACGAUAUGUUCCCGGUAGGCUUGUAGGAGCCCUGUGCAGAGCGAGUUGUUUCUUAGCAGCCCAAAGACAUGGAAUCUGGACGCUGAGGGACUUGUCUCCCCUUGUGGAAACAAAGCCGGACUUUGCGAAUUGCAGAUCUAGGGUCAUGUAGGACACGGCAGAGCAGAAGUUCUACUUCAGCGAGAUCAGGCCUGGGAAGAAACUGCGUUUCACAGGCCUUUGUAAGACAUGUUCCCGGUAGGCUGUAAAACACCAGUGCAGAGCGAGCUGUUUCUCAGCUGCCCAAAGAGCUGGAAGCCGGACGCUGUGGGGCCUGUCUGCCCUUGAAGACACAGCAGAGGACUUUGUCACUUUCAGCUCUAGGCCCAUGUAGGACACGGCAGAGCAGGAGUUCUACUUCAGCGAGAGCCUGCCUGAGAUGAAACUGCGUUUCAUAGGCCUUUGUAAGACAUGCUCCCGGUAGGCUUGUGAAAGCCCUGUGCAGAGUGAGCUGUUUCUUAGCUUCCCAAAGAGCUGGAAGCCGGACGCUGUGGGACCAGUCUGCCCUUGAGGACACAGACAGGACUUUGUCCCAUCAGCUCUAGGCCCAUGCAGGACACGGCAGAGCAGAAGUUCUACUUCAGCGAGAUCAGGUCUGGGAAGAAACUGCGUUUCACAGGCCUUUGUAAGACAUGUUCCCAGUAGGCUUUAAGAGCCCUGUGCAGAGCGAGUUGUUUCUUAGCCUGCCAAAGAGCUGGAAACCGGACGCUGUGGGACCAGUCUGGCCUUGAGGACACAAGACAGGACUUUGUCCCUUUCAGCUCUAGGCCCAUGCAGGACACGGCAGAGCAGAAGUUCUACCUCACUGAGAUCAGGCCUGGGAAGAAACUGCGUUUCACUUGCCUUUGUAGGACAUCUUCCCGGUAGGCUGUAAAGCACCAGUGCAGAGCGAGCUGUUUCUUAGCUGCACAAAGAGAUGGAAGCUGGACGCUGUGGGGCCUGUCUGCUCUUGAAGACACAACACAGGACUUUGUCCCUUUCAGCUCUAGGCCCACGUAGGACACGGCAGAGCAGAAGUUCUACUUCACCGAGAUCAGGCUGGGAAGAAACUGCGUUUCAGAUGCCUUUGUAAGACAUGUUCCAGGUAGGCUUGUAGGAGCCCGAUGCAGAGCGAGUUGUUUCUUUGUUGCCCAAAAGCUGGAAGGCGGACACUGUGCUGCCGCCCUGCCCCUGAGGAGAGAAGGCGGGAGUUUGUCCCUUUCAGCUCUAGGCCCAUGUAGGACACGGCAGAGGAGAAGUUCUAAUUGAACGAGGUCUGGACUGGGCACAAACUGCGUUUCAGAUGCCUUUGUAAGACAUGUUCCCUGUAGGCUGUAAAACACCAGUGCAGAGCGAGCUGUUUCUCAGCUUCCCAAAGAGCUGGAAGCUGGACGCUGUGGGACCUGUCUGCCCUUGAGGACAAAAGGCAGAACUUUGUCCCUUUCAGCUCUAGGCCCAUGUAGAACACGGCAGAGCAGAAGUUCUACUUCAGCGAGAUCAGGCCUGGGAAGAAACUGCGUUUCACAGGCCUUUGUAAGACAUGUUCCCGGUAGGCUUUAAGAGCGCUGUGCAGAACGAGUUGUUUCUUAGCUGCCCAAAGAGCUGGAAGCUGGACGCUGAGGGACUUGCCUCUCCUUGUGGAAACAAGGCAGGAUUUUGUGAAUUGCAGCUCUAGGGUCAAAUAGGACACGGCAGAGCAGAAGUUCUACUUCAGCGAGAUCAGGCCUGGGAAGAAACUGCGUCUCACAGGCCUUUGUAAGACAUGUUCCCGGUAGGCUUUAAGAGCCCUGUGCAGAGCGAGUUGUUUCUUAGACUGCAAAAGAGCUGGAAGCCUGACGCUUUGGGGCCUCUCUGCCCUUGAGGACACAAGACAGGACUUUGUCCCUUUUAGCUCUAGGCCCAUGUAGGACACGGCAGAGCAGAAGUUCUACUUCAGCGAGAGCAGGCCUGAGAUGAAACUGCGUUUCAUAGGCCUUUGUAAGACAUGCUCCCGGUAGGCUUGUAAAAGCCCUGUGCAGAGUGAGCUGUUUCUUAGCUUCCCAAAGAGCUGGAAGCCGGACGCUGUGGGACCUGUCUGCCCUUGAGGACAAAAGGCAGAACUUUGUCCCUUUCAGCUCUAGGCCCAUGUAGAACACGGCAGAGCAGAAGUUCUACUUCAGCGAGAUCAGGCCUGGGAAGAAACUGCGUCUCACAGGCCUUUGUAAGACAUGUUCCCGGUAGGCUUUAAGAGCCCUGUGCAGAGCGAGUUGUUUCUUAGACUGCCAAAGAGCUGGAAGCCGGACGCUGUGGGACCAGUCUGCCCUUGAGGACACAAGACAGGACUUUGUCCCUUUCAGCUCUAGGCCCAUGCAGGACACGGCAGAGCAGAAGUUCUACUUCAGCGAGAUCAGGUCUGGGAAGAAACUGCGUUUCACAGGCCUUUGUAAGACAUGUUCCCGGUAGGCUUUAAGAGCCCUGUGCAGAGCGAGUUGUUUCUUAGCCUGCCAAAGAGCUGGAAGCCGGACGCUGUGGGACCAGUCUGCCCUUGAAGACACAAGACAGGAGUUUGUCCCUUUCAUCUCUAGGCCCAUGCAGGACACGGCAGAGCAGAAGUUCUACUUCAGCGAGAUCAGGUCUGGGAAGAGACUGCGUUUCACAGGCCUUUGUAAGACAUGUUCCCGGUAGGCUUUAAAAGCCCAGGGCAGAGCGAGCUGUUUCUUAGCUGCCCAAAGAGCUGGAAGCCGGACGCUGUGGGGCCUGUCUGCCCUUGAGGACACAACACAGGACUUUGUCCCUUUCAGCUCUAGGCCCAUGUAGGACACGGCAGAGCUGAACUUCUGCUUCAGCGAGAUCAGGCCUGGGAAGAAACUGCGUUUCGCAGGCCUUUCUCAACAUGUUCCUGGUAGGCUUGUAGGAGCCCUGUGCAGAGCGAGUUGUUUCUUAGCUGCCCAAAGAGCUGGAAGCCGGACGCUGAGGGACUUGCCUCCCCUUGUGGAAACAAGGCAGGACUUUGUGAAUUGCAGCUCUAGGGUCAAAUAGGACACGGCAGAGCAGAAGUUCUACUUCAGCGAGAUCAGGCCUGGGAAGAAACUGCGUCUCACAGGCCUUUGUAAGACAUGUUCCCGGUAGGCUUUAAGAGCCCUGUGCAGAGCGAGUUGUUUCUUAGACUGCAAAAGAGCUGGAAGCCGGACGCUGUGGGGCCUGUCUGCCCUUGAAGACACAAGACAGGACUUUGUCCCUUUCAGCUCUAGGCCCAUGUAGGACACGGCAGAGCAGAAGUUCUACUUCAGCGAGAUCAGGCCUGGGAAGAAACUGCGUCUCACAGGCCUUUGUAAGACAUGUUCCCGGUAGGCUUUAGGAGCCCUGUGCAGAGCGAGUUGUUUCUUAGCCUUCCAAAGAGCUGGAAGCCGGAUGCUGUGGGACCAGUCUGCCCUUGAGGACACAAGACAGGACUUUGUCCCUUUCAGCUCUAGGCCCAUGCAGGACACGGCAGAGCAGAAGUUCUACUUCAGCGAGAUCAGGUCUGGGAAGAAACUGCGUUUCACAGGCCUUUGUAAGACAUGUUCACGGUAGGCUGUAAAACAGCAGUGCAGAGCAAGCUGUUUCUCAGCUGCCCAAAGAGCUGGAAGCCGGACGCUGAGGGACUUGCCUCCCCUUGUGGAAACAAGGCAGGACUUUAUGAAUUGCAGCUCUAGGGUCAAAUAGGACACGACAGAGCAGAAGUUCUACUUCAGCGAGAUCAGGCCUGGGAAGAAACUGCGUCUCACAGGCCUUUGUAAGACAUGUUCCCGGUAGGCUUUAAGAGCCCUGUGCAGAGCGAGUUGUUUCUUAGACUGCCAAAGAGAUGAAAGCCGGACUCUGUGUGGCCUGUCUGCCCUUGAGGACACAAGACAGGACUUUCUCCCUUUUAGCUCCAGGCCCAUGUAGGACACGGCAGAGCAGAAGUUCUACUUCAGCGAGAGCAGGCCUGAGAUGAAACUGCGUUUCAUAGGCCUUUGUAAGACAUGUUCCCGGUAGGCUGUAAAACAGCAGUGCAGAGCAAGCUGUUUCUCAGCUGCCCAAAGAGCUGGAAGCCGGACGCUGUGGGGCCUGUCUGCCCAUGAAGACACAACAGAGGACUUUGUCCCUUUCAUCUCUAGGCCCAUGUAGGACACGGCAGAGCAGAAGUUCUACUUCACCGAGAUUAGGCCUGGCAAGAAACUGCGUUUCACAGGCCUUUGUUGGACAUGUUCCCAGUAGGCUGUAAAACACCAGUGCAGAGCCAGCUGUUUCUUAGCUGCCCAAAGAGCUGGAAGUCGGACGCUGUGGGGCC